rnacentral:sRNA from 1 species
AAAGUGGAGGCAGGGGGAUCUCUGAGAGUGAGCUCCUGUCGUCUCAAUGCGCAAACAAUAAUCAAGUUUAAAAGCAAAAUCCUUUGCUGGUUUUAAAGGGUUAUUUAUUAUUAAGCCCGAGAGUUUUCUUUAAAAAAAAAAAUAAUCAAAAUAUAUCGUCUUCGCUUGCUCGCCCUCUUCACCUGUGACCGGGUCUUCAUUCUUUCAGCAGUGACUCCUAAAGGACAGAGUGGAGUGGAAACUUAAGGGUUCCUUGGAAAGUCAGUUGUGCUGGAUGCGUGAAAAGACCUGUGAGGAAGAAUUCUUCACUAACAACACACAUGUGUCGGUCUGCCUUACACUGUGCAGUUAGUCGAGCUCCAUUUGUUGGGACUCCAUAGAGAAAAACACAGAACCCGUGCUGAGGCAAGACACAUGCGUCACGUGGCCCUGAACAAAGGCGGUGAACUUUAUCCGGCAGUAACCUAAUCUCCUGGAUCGUUUACCAACAACACUCAGAGUGAUCUCCGGGAUUACCUUGGGCUUUGGCCAGCACCAGGGAGACUGGGCUGAACAGAAGUUUCUGGCUCUGUGUGGACCACGUUCUCUCCUAGCGUCAGAGCUUUCCUCAGAGUUCUGUGAGAGCAGUGUUAACUGUGGACAGUCCUGGACUCACAUCACCCCAGUUUGUUGCCUCAGAAGACAAAACUCUCCCAGGAUCUUGAGAUGGAUCGAGAUUGAGAGUCCUGAGUUCAGAGCUCUUAAUGGAACGGGCAAAGUUCUAAGGAGAGAAGCUAUGGAGAUGGGGAAAGGAAACUCAGGUGGAGCAGAGAUGGAGGCACAAGCCAAGGCCUCUGUGAGUCACCAGAAGCAGGGGCAGGACCAGCCUUGGUAACGCUGUGAUUUAGGACAGCCGACAAUCCCAACAUGUGUUAAUUCUAAUACAUUUCUGUCUUUUGAA